AUACCCAAAACAACAGGGACUUUUUCACAAAAAUGCCACGACGGACAACCAGAAACCCUAUUUGCUUUAUUAUUAGGGAGAGAUUUCCUUUCUUUUGACUUUUGUCCAAAUUUCGUAUUUAAAUAUGCGCGCGCUUAGUUGUACUAAGCGACAACUAAGCGGCAGAAUAGGAGUUGCAAUCUUUCUCUUGCCUUAUUUGUCUUCACGAGAGACCUCUUGACUUUAAAGGCAUGUACACUAUAUGCUUGAAUGGCGUUUACGUUAGUUUAAACUCCAGUCGUUUAGAAAAAUCUGAAUGAGACGUCAUUAUAAGAUGCAGUUUUACAAGGAUUAUGCACAUCAUGAAUGAUUUAGAGUUCAUAAGGAUUAUGCACAUCAUGAAUCCUAAAUGUGAGAAUGCUUUGGAACAAAUUUAUGAGUUAUUUUUGCAAUUCUAUACAUAACAGAAGGACAUAAUUUAUAUGAAAAACUUCUCCUUCUAAGGGAGAUACUAGAACUUAGCAGCUAAUGUGUUCUCUAUAGGGUAAGUCCAACGAUUCAGCAGCUAAUGUGUUCUCUACCAAAGUAAUCGAAAGGCAUGAACAGUCAUAUUUUGCUGCAAAUGUUUACGUAAAUGCAAACUUACACAUGUUACUAUAUUUCUCACUAGAAGCUAAUUCAAGAUAUUUUCUAUAUGGACUGAAGUAAUAAUCUUAGUCAUAGUCAUCAACAGUCAUAUUUUGCUGCAAAUGUUUACGUACAUGCAAACUUACACAUGUUACUAUAUUUCUCACUAGAAGCUAAUUCAAAAUAUUUCUAUAUGAUUAUGGACGGAACUAAUAAUCUUAAUCACAGAGCCCUUAGUAAAUUUUUUUUUUUGAUAUUUACAACAUCUACGUAUUGUCAN
rnacentral:lncRNA from 1 species